rnacentral:rRNA from 1 species
UCGAGCGAAGUUUUUCUGGUGCUUGCACUAGAAAAACUUAGCGGCGAACGGGUGAGUAACACGUAAAGAACCUGCCUCAUAGACUGGGACAACUAUUGGAAACGAUAGCUAAUACCGGAUAACAGCAUUAACUGCAUGGUUGAUGUUUGAAAGUUGGUUAUGCUAACACUAUGAGAUGGCUUUGCGGUGCAUUAGCUAGUUGGUGGGGUAAAGGCCUACCAAGGCGACGAUGCAUAGCCGACCUGAGAGGGUGAUCGGCCACACUGGGACUGAGACACGGCCCAGACUCCUACGGGAGGCAGCAGUAGGGAAUCUUCCGCAAUGGGCGAAAGCCUGACGGAGCAACGCCGCGUGAGUGAAGAAGGAUUUCGGUUCGUAAAGCUCUGUUGUUAGGGAAGAAUGAUUGUGUAGUAACUAUACACAGUAGAGACGGUACCUAACCAGAAAGCCACGGCUAACUACGUGCCAGCAGCCGCGGUAAUACGUAGGUGGCAAGCGUUGUCCGGAAUUAUUGGGCGUAAAGCGCGCGCAGGUGGUUUAAUAAGUCUGAUGUGAAAGCCCACGGCUCAACCGUGGAGGGUCAUUGGAAACUGUUAAACUUGAGUGCAGGAGAGAAAAGUGGAAUUCCUAGUGUAGCGGUGAAAUGCGUAGAGAUUAGGAGGAACACCAGUGGCGAAGGCGGCUUUUUGGCCUGUAACUGACACUGAGGCGCGAAAGCGUGGUGAGCAAACAGGAUUAGAUACCCUGGUAGUCCACGCCGUAAACGAUGAGUGCUAAGUGUUGGUCUCAUAAGAGAUCAGUGCUGCAGCUAACGCAUUAAGCACUCCGCCUGGGGAGUACGACCGCAAGGUUGAAACUCAAAGGAAUUGACGGGGA